UACGUAGGGGGCAAGCGUUGUCCGGAAUCAUUGGGCGUAAAGAGCGUGUAGGCGGCUCGGUAAGUCCGCUGUAAAAGUCCAGGGCUCAACCCUGGAAUGCCGGUGGAAACUGUCGGGCUGGAGUCCGGAAGAGGCGAGUGGAAUUCCUGGUGUAGCGGUGAAAUGCGCAGAUAUCAGGAGGAACACCAAUGGCGAAGGCAGCUCGCUGGGACGGUACUGACGCUGAGACGCGAAAGCGUGGGGAGCAAACAGG
rnacentral:rRNA from 1 species